rnacentral:rRNA from 1 species
GCUCAGAACGAACGCUGGCGGCGUGCCUAACACAUGCAAGUCGAACGGAAGUAAGAAGCUUGCUUUUUACUUUAGUGGCGCACGGGUGAGUAACGCGUAGAUAAUCUGCCUGAUGAUUUGGGAUAACACUUCGAAAGGGGUGCUAAUACCGAAUAAGCCCACGGAGUCCUUGGACUCUGCGGGAAAAGGAGGGGACCUUCGGGCCUUCCGUCAUCAGAUGAGUCUGCGUACCAUUAGCUAGUUGGUAGGGUAAAGGCCUACCAAGGCGACGAUGGUUAGCUGGUCUGAGAGGAUGAUCAGCCACACUGGAACUGAGACACGGUCCAGACUCCUACGGGAGGCAGCAGUGGGGAAUUUUGCGCAAUGGGGGAAACCCUGACGCAGCAACGCCGCGUGAGUGAUGAAGGCCCUUGGGUCGUAAAGCUCUGACAGAGGGAAAGAAAUGUGGGUGGCUAAUAUCCAUUCCACUUGACGGUACCCUCAAAGGAAGCACCGGCUAACUCCGUGCCAGCAGCCGCGGUAAUACGGAGGGUGCGAGCGUUGUUCGGAUUUAUUGGGCGUAAAGCGCGUGUAGGCGGUUUUAUAAGUCUGAUGUGAAAGCCCCGGGCUCAACCUGGGAAGUGCAUUGGAUACUGUAAGGCUUGAAUACGGGAGAGGGCAGUGGAAUUCCUGGUGUAGGAGUGAAAUCCGUAGAUAUCAGGAGGAACACCGGUGGCGAAGGCGGCUGCCUGGACCGAUAUUGACGCUGAGACGCGAAAGCGUGGGUAGCAAACAGGAUUAGAUACCCUGGUAGUCCACGCCGUAAACGAUGAGUACUAGGUGUUGCGGGUAUUGACCCCUGCAGUGCCGCAGCUAACGCAUUAAGUACUCCGCCUGGGAAGUACGGUCGCAAGACUAAAACU